AGUGAACGCUGGCGGUAUGCCUAACACAUGCAAGUCGAACGGCAGCACAGUAAGAGCUUGCUCUUACGGGUGGCGAGUGGCGGACGGGUGAGGAAUACAUCGGAAUCUACUUUUUCGUGGGGGAUAACGUAGGGAAACUUACGCUAAUACCGCAUACUACCUACGGGUGAAAGCAGGGGAUCUUCGGACCUUUCGCGAUUGAAUGAGCCGAUGUCGGAUUAGCUAGUUGGCGGGGUAACGUCCCACCAAGGCAACGAUGCGUAGCUGAUCUGAGAGGAUGAUCGGCCACACUGGAACUGAGACACGGUCCAGACUCCUACGGGAGGCAGCAGUAGGGAAUCUUCCGCGAUGGGCGGAGGCCGGAUGGAGCAGCGCUGCGGGAGUGAUGAAGGUCGUCGGAUCGUAAAACUCUGUUUUUAGGGAAGAACAAAUGUGUAAGUAACUGUGCACAUCGUGACGGUACCUAAUCAGAAAGAAACGGCUAACUACGUG
rnacentral:rRNA from 1 species